GACGAACGCUGGCGGGCGUGCUUAACAACAUGCAAGUCGAGCGGUAAGGCCCUUUCGGGGGUACGACGAGCGGCGAACGGGUGAGUAACACGUGGGUGACCUGCCCUCAGCUCUGGGAUAAGCCUGGGAAACCGGGUCUAAUACCGGAUAUGACUCCAUGACGCAUGUUGUGGGGUGGAAAGCCUUGUGCGGCUGAGGAUGGGCCCGCGGCCUAUCAGCUUGUUGGUGGGGUGAUGGCCUACCAAGGCGACGACGGGUAGCCGGCCUGAGAGGGCGACCGGCCACACUGGGACUGAGGCACGGCCCAGACUCCUACGGGAGGCAGCAGUGGGGAAUCUUGCGCAAUGGGGCGAAAGCCUGACGCAGCGACGCCGCGUGA
rnacentral:rRNA from 1 species